rnacentral:rRNA from 1 species
AUUGAACGCUGGCGGCAUGCUUUGCACAUGCAAGUCGAACGGUAACAGGCCGCAAGGUGCUGACGAGUGGCGAACGGGUGAGUAAUGCAUCGGAACGUGCCCAGUCGUGGGGGAUAACGCAGCGAAAGCUGUGCUAAUACCGCAUACGAUCUAUGGAUGAAAGCGGGGGACCGUAAGGCCUCGCGCGAUUGGAGCGGCCGAUGUCAGAUGAGGUAGUUGGGGGGGUAAAGGCGCACCAAGACAACGAUCUGUAGCUGAUCUGAGAGGACGAGCGGCCAAACCGGGACUGAGACACGGCCAAGACUCCUACGGGAGGCAGCAGUGGGGAAUUUUGGACAAUGGGCGCAAGCCUGAUCCAGCAAUGCCGCGUGCAGGAAGAAGGCCUUCGGGUUGUAAACUGCUUUUGUACGGAACGAAAAGGUUUGGGUUAAUACCCUGGGCCGAUGACGGUACCGUAAGAAUAAGCACCGGCUAACUACGUGCCAGCCGCCGCAGUAA